UGGUUUCCAAUGAGAAGAUGUUGCGCUGUGGAGUUGGAGACAGAUGAGAAAUCACUGUUUUACGCUCCGAACGGGAAUAACGACACUCUUAUUUGAAUAAAGACAGUUUCUUCAUCUGAUGUGGACAAUUUAGAGAAGAUGCAUACAACUCGCAGUCCAUCCGCAUCCAUCCAGACAGGGGCAGCUGGAGAUGUUCUGGACCUUAGCCUGACUGGCUCUCUGCUCACAGUGGGCCGCAGACCCAGCAGCGCUUCACCUGGAAAACACUUCUCUCGAUCCAUAUCUGUGUCUGUGGCCAGUGAUGGCCGGGGGAAGCGAAACACUUUGACUGAUGCUGGAUUGGGAGGCUCACGAGCAAUUAAGAAUCUGCGACGGUCCAACAGCACCACACAGGUGAACCAGCAGGCCAACACAAG